GGCUGGUCCAAGUGCAGUGGUAUUUACAACUAAUUGAUCACAGUCAGUUACGGAUUUCUUUGUUCCUGCUGCACACCCACUAUUUCACUUGUCUAGCUUUAA
ensembl:misc_RNA Y_RNA Y RNA